rnacentral:sRNA from 1 species
GGAUAUUGAUUUCGGUUGAUAUCCGAGUGGCGAACGGGUGAGUAAAGCGUGAGUGACCUAACCUUAAGACAGGGAUAACACGUGGAAACGCGUGCUAAUACGUGAUAAGACCACAGUGCCGCAUGGCAGAGGGGUCAAAGGAGCAAUCCGCUUAAGGAAGGGCUCGCGUCCCAUUAGGUAGUUGGUAAGGUAACGGCCUACCAAGCCUGCGAUGGGUAGCCGGUCUGAGAGGAUGAACGGCCACUUUUGUUCUGAGACACGGGCCAAGACUCCUACGGGAGGCAGCAGUGGGGCUCCUACGGGAGGCUCCUCCCCCCCCANCUGAUGCGNGANGCAGCUNCAUUCCANCUG